AGACUUACCUGGCAGGGGGACACCAUGAUCAAGAAGGCGGUUCACCCAGGGUAAGGCUCCUCCAUUGCACUCCGGCCGUGCUGACCCCUGCGAAUUCUCCAAAUGUCGGAAUCUCGACUGCAUAAUUUAUGGUAGUGGGGGACUGCGUUCGCGCUCUCCCCUG
ensembl:snRNA U1 U1 spliceosomal RNA